rnacentral:rRNA from 1 species
GCAAGUCGAGGGGUAACGGCAGUAGCUUGCUACUAGACGACGACCGGCGCACGGGUGAGUAACGCGUAUGUAAUCUGCCUUGUACAGAGGGAUAGCCCAGAGAAAUUUGGAUUAAUACCUCAUAGUAUUACUGAAUCGCAUGAUUUGGUAAUUAAAGCUCCGGCGGUACAAGAUGAACAUGCGUGACAUUAGCUAGUUGGUAAGGUAACGGCUUACCAAGGCCACGAUGUCUAGGGGUUCUGAGAGGAUGAUCCCCCACACUGGUACUGAGACACGGACCAGACUCCUACGGGAGGCAGCAGUGAGGAAUAUUGGUCAAUGGACGCAAGUCUGAACCAGCCAUCCCGCGUGAAGGAUGACUGCCCUAUGGGUUGUAAACUUCUUUUAUAUGCAAAUAAACCUGCUUUCGUGA